CUCUCUCUCUCUCCCUCUCUCUCUCUCUCUCUCUCUCUCUCUCACUGACUCUGUGAGUGAAAACUUGAUUUGAACACAAUAUCCUAGGAGAUUAUUUUGUGCACAGGAUGAGAUCACACACACACACACACAUGCUAUCCUUGUGAGCACCUUCCACUAUUGCACCGAAUACAUACAAUCACUAAGAUCAGCCUCAACAGAUAUCUUUCAUUUCUCUUACUAUAUUGAAUUAAAUCUGCACGAAGCACUUUUCCUCAUGGGAACCUACUGUCCGACGUUAUGUUUCUUGAGAUAUUUGGUCCCCACAGAAAGGUAAAAACAUGACAACAUAACACUAACACACACAAACACCCUUUUCAGCAAGGAAUUCAUUGUGUUUAGAUUUAGACCCCAAUGCUAAGCUGUAAGUCAUAUUUAACAUAUUCUGGUGAUUUUUUUAUGUCCUUGUCCAUGUAAUCUGUCCCUGCUGAUAAACACACACCUGAGUAGCUACCAAAAAAAGCCCGGAGAAUGGACAAGAAGGAUCAUUUGAUCAUAGCAAAUGGAGCAAAGCUCAUGUUUGCAUAUGAACAGAUAAAAAUCAGACCUGAGCCACUCAGUGUUUCAUAAUCCUCUGUUACUGAAGUGUGUGUGUAUGUGAGAGAGAGAGAGAGAUGAGCCUCGUAAUUGAAGCAGUGUAUUUUUAUUUAUUUUUUUGCUUAAGGGGUAUGGGAAUGUGUGCUGUCCACCUCAUGAUCAUUUUCCUUUUCUCUUCCAAGAGGACAGUUCAUUAGUUCAUUCAUCCGCCCAUCUUCAUCCUGAUCAGGGUCACGAUGGAUUCCCGGGAACGCCGGGGCAUAUUAGUUUACAGCCUAAUGUUCAGUGGAAUCUUAUUUAACCCUGAAUGCUGCCAUUCAUGAGCCUGGUUCACACCUGAAACGGUUAAAAUUUACGAUCACAUGACUUUGACGGCUCAAAACGCAAGAACAGAUGUGAUAACUCAGGCAUUUAUGAAGAUUUACAGUCGUACACCCAUCCUCCUCCUCCUCCUCCUAAGGAGACCGUUUAUGGUUUACAUGUGAAGGACGAAGGUGCAUUUUAGGUUGUGAAUCUUUUCACUUUCGUGUGUUUUCAUAAAAAGGUCUGGUACUUACAGAUGCGAAAGUGUCGCCAAUCGUGGCUAGUCACGCAAGAGAAUUUCCCUUUACCGUAACUUUAGAUCUGACUCGUAAGUUAUGACGGUUGUAACUGGUUGAGCGCAUGCAUUUUUGCAGUACUUUCUUCAGCACCAGUAUUUUCCUGUUGCACAUAGCUCAUUGUGAAAGUAUGAAUGAAUUGACUGUAUUCUCUUAAUGUGAACAGUUUAUUACUUUGCAUUGAUAAAACAAAUCAGCUUUACAUUACAGUAAAUAAAGUGAUAGACAAAAACACGAAACACUACUUUGAUACACCGAUCAGGCAUAACAUUAUGAGCACUGAGAGGUGAAGUGAAUAUCACUGAUUAUCUCCUCAUCAUGGCACCUGUUAGUGGGUGGGAUAUAUUAGGCAGCAAGUGAACAUUUUGUCCUCAAAGUUGAUGUGUUAGAAGCAGGAAAAAUGGGCAAGUGUAAGGAUUUAAGGGAGUUUGAUGAAGGGACAAAUUGUGAUGGCUAGACCACUGGAUCAGUGCAUCUCCAAAACUGCAGCUCUUGUGGGGUGUUCCCGGUCUGCAGUGGUCAGUAUCUAUCAAAAGUGUCUUGUAAGUCCUGUAAGUAAACUUUAAAUCCUGUAAGUUGCAGUGUGUGGCCCUAAAAGAUCUGCUGCUAACAUCUUGGUGCCAGAUACCACAGCACACCUUCAGGGAUCUGGUGGAGUCCAUGCAUCAACGGGUCAGGGCUGUUUUGGCAGCAAAAGGGGGAACCGAUGCAAUAUUAGGCAGGUGGUCAUAAUGUUAUGCCUGAUCAGUGAACAUUGGACCAACGGCACGUUUGGUGAUUUUUUUUUUUGAUUAUUUAUCACAAUAUUUAGAAGCAAUAUACAGCUAAAUAUUCACAAUUAGAGAGGCGAGAAACCUGUUUUUGUUCAUAUUACGUUGAUAAUGUCACAUUUAGCAGGGCGUGAGUUCUUAAAAACAGCAUAGAUCUUUUCUUUUGUAACGUGCUAUAUAAACAACAGCAUUUCAUGUUGAAUAAGAAAAAGCUCAUUUUUAAGGUAAAAAAAAAUUAUCUUAUUAUUAGUUUAACACAGACGGCUGAUUUUAGGCUUCUGAAAUGGAACAAAUCUUUUCUGUACAGUGGCACUGAGGCACCAGGUACAACAUAAAUCUGGAGAAAACAUCUCACAGCAGAGAAGCAUGAAAACAUGACGAAUCAAAGCAUGUGCGUUUGUGUACAUGUGACAUUUCAGCCCAAAACACAGGGUUCAGUCUCUCACGUUUGUAUUUUCCUUGACCUGACCUUCUAUGUGACGCUUAAUCUUCUGUCCAACGAAGCAUCUAAUGUGUAAAAACGUACACACGUCUUCGCUCUCAGGUAUCUCUGCUGCUUUUCAACACAGAGCAUGCACAGUGCGUGUAUAGUUUAAUAUCUGAUUUUAUUUCGGAUUUAUAAUGAACUUGUUAUGCUUAUUCCAACUCAUCCAUUUUUGCAAGCUUGUUAACUGCUACCGCCUGAUAUCAGCUAUUUCUGUCUGCUGUAAUGAUGUAAUGAGUACUCUUAUGAGUACAUCUUAUGUUAUGUGCCCCCUUCUUUAAAGUCCCUAUUGGCGUCACACCCUUCCAAAGCCAUAGGCGAUACUCUCUCUUUAAUAGUUAGGGGGACGACAAGCUCACAAGCGUAAUGCCAUGCCAACCUCAAUAAUGUCAACAACUUUGUGUAGGUUUCAGAGGAGGAUUUGUUGCACCUUGGCUCAGUGGAGGGUUUGUUGCUAACCAGGUUCAUUUUCAAAGUGUACUUUGUAAACUGCGAAUGCAUGUAUGUGUGUUUUAGCAUCAGAACGUGACCUUAUUUAGCACCGAUAUUUCCUAGAAAAUUGUCGUAUGUUUUGCAUCUUCGUUUGAAUCUGUUCUUGCACAGCCUCGUGUGUUUAGUAAACUAGUUAAAAUUGUGCUUCUUGGUUUAUUAUGCACUUUUGGCCUUUACAGUUCAUUUAACCUGCAACCACAACAUCCUAUAUGACAGUGAGCGCCUUUAGAAACAAAUAUCAGACGAAUCCGGCAACAAAUCAGAAGGAACAAGCCGCAUGCCACCUAAAAUAUUCCACCGUAAUAACCUCAUUCACACUUUCAAGGCAGAUCAGAAGGUUCGGAUGUAAAGAUGAAGAUAAACCGCAGCGAGUUUCUUCCAUUCGAUUAAAUGUAUUUAGCAUGUUUAGCGUGUAGAAUAGAGUUUUUGUAUUUUUCCAGUGCAGAGUUCACUCCAGGCUCAAGUGUUUGAGAAAUUAAAGACAUGCACUGUGCACCAGACGAGUAAUUCAGGUGAGGCUUUUCACAUCGAUUGGCUUGACCACAUGAGCUCUGGCAUGGCUAGAGUGCCUGAUUGCCAAGUGGGCCAAAGCUGGGCAUCUGCCAGUGUAAGGUUAAUUACACAUUAUUCAUACCUCACGCCUCUCGGAGCCAUUUACAUUUACCAACAUGCAGUUGGGAGACGCGGCCGACCUUUGCAGGUGACUGUUUAGCUGAGCAUGCAAAUACAAAGCACGCCUUCCCGUGCAUGGUCCUGUCGCAGGAAAUGGCUGUAAAUCAUGUCAGCGUGUUUCAGUCAGAAUGAAAGUGUGCGGUGAAGUUUGUGAUAUUCACACAGCAAACACCAGCGUCGGUGGUUUGAAUCAGCUCCCAUUAUAAUCUCUUCGUUGCACACGAGUCUUGUAAAGUAUACGCGAAUAUUUGGUGCUGCUUUGCCACCCACAGUUCAGUAAUCGUGUUAUUGACAUGCAAUAAAACAGAGCGAAAUCUGUAGUCUGGCGAGAUCUUUAAAAGUCUAAGAGUUUAUCAAGAAAAAAGACCAUUUGUCCUUGUGUCUGUCUUCAGCUCAAGUGUUCAGGUUGGCUCAUUAUCCUGAGAUUCAAACGAGAGCAUAUAUUAAAACCGCGUGGGCAACUAGAAAGAAGCGUGUUCUCUCAUUCCAAAGCGUUUUAUUGGGGUUUGUGGCAACAGUUAGGAGAACAUAUCCAGAUGUGUUGGUCAGGUGUCUUUUGGCUGUGUAGUGUAAUUUUUAAACGUUGAAAUGACUGAAUUUUUCAGAUAUGUCCUGAUUCCUCUGGCCACUGCACAUGCUUGCAACUCCUAAAUUUAAAUAUUCGCCAAACCUGACUCUGAAUCCUUUCACAUAACUAAUUAAGGACAGCGUAAUAAGUCAGGAGUACGUAUUCUGUACAUUGUCUCGGUUUCUGUACCUGUACCUUGUGUUUCUUGGGUAGGAUCUAACAUCAUUUCUUUGACAUGGUAUCGUCCGUAAUUCUUGGUACAAUGAGGAAAUUUGUAAAGCAAAUCCUGCCACUUCGCCAGCAGAUCCCCCAAAACAAAGAUUUUCUCUUACUGUGAGGAUAACGCGUGUUUACCCCCACAAGCCACCAUGAGCACACCAAAGGGCAAUUAUGGUAAACCUUAGCAUUAGCCUCAUGUUUUCAACAUGAGGUCAUGAGAUAACAGUAAACGGAGAAGGAGCCACAGAAAACAGUGCUCUUUUUAUUAAAAUAAAAAAAUGUCCAUUAGUCAUAUUUCGUCCCUGCAGUCUCACCUUGACCACCGGUCACACAAGCCAUUAGAGCUCAAAGACACGAUGGUUUUCAGCACCUUUGAUUUCAGCAUCCGCUGAGCCGUUAGCGAAUAUUGAACUCCUAGCGAAAACAUUUAAUUUUUUUUGUUUCCUUGGUGAAAAGAGGCAAUUAGUGUUUCUCCUGCAUGUUUCUUUAAUGCCGCUCGGACGGAUGUUUUUCUCCCCCGAGAUCAGAUGUCCAUUUGGAGCCGUAUUCUCAGGCUCUCGGAGAUUAUUACCUCGUUAUUAAUGACCGGCUCAUUUGUGACUGGAGUCUAACAAAGUCGAACGAAAGAAAUGCUGAUGAGCGCUGUGACACAAUUUUUAUGUAACACAAUAAAAUAUGUAAACAGUCCUCCAGCUAUUUAACUGUGCAGAGGAUCUUAAGUUUAACUCUCCGUAUUUAGAUCGCUUCUGAUGAACGGUGUGCAGGUUUUGUUUGUUGAUUUAUUUAUUUUGAUGGCUUGACCUCGCUUGUAUUUUGAUCCUCCUUCUCCUCACCAAGUGGACUUCUAUGACACAGGCAGGUCGUCGUCCAAGAUGGCGGCGCCCGCGUGAAUUAUUUACAGCCUUGGCUGACCACUGCUGACGGAGGGGUUAUUUGAAAUCAAAAUGUGCUGUCUUUUGUCCCUUGACGCUUUUCCUCGGCCCUGUACUGCAGAGCUUGAAAUUAACAGCAUCCUGUCAGCGGGGCAGUUAGAAAAGGGCUGAGGACAGUGCGAGUCCUUGCUCUGGAUGAUUGCAGGACAAUAAAAAAAAAGUGUAAUCAGUUUAGCAAUGACUUUUUCAGCAGUGCUCAGAUAUCUCUCUCACAAGGGGGAAAAUCUCCUAAACUUACUCUAGCAGACAGAGUAUGAUUGGCCUUUAUAUAUCUGAAACAAACACUUUGUAUAGACCAGUUGAAAGAGUUCACAAACUGUAUGAAUGAGAACGUUGCACGAGCUCAAGGGCUGUAGGAUCGAGAUCUGUGACAUGAAGAAGGAUUAAAGAUUAUUUUGUGCAGCAGUGUUUUUAUUUAUUUAUUUUUUUUAAUCCUAACUGUUUAUUUUAUUUAUUUUUUCCUUUUUUAAAAAAAAAAAAAAUGUCACCCUGUGGAAGCGAGAUAUAUUUUGCCUCAGAGCAACAGUUGCACAGCAUUUCAACAUCUUUAUCUGGGUCUUGGGUCUUUACAUGCGCACCAUUGAGCCUCACGUGAUCAGAGAAGGAAGCGCUGUGUGGUCCCUGUACCCACAAAGCAGCUUCAAAACAUUUUCAAGAAUACAAAUGGCCUGAUUAAUAUUGAGAAAAAAAACAUCGCUUUACAGAUUUAAAGGUUUUAAGGAGAUACAAAAUGAUAUUCAGAGUUUUAAAGGGUGAACAGUCCUGUCUGACAAAUGACAGAGUAGAGCUCACACCUGAAAUAGUUCCCCCUGGGUCAUGGUAAACACGAUGUAAACCAAAUCCCGAGCUCAUACUUUACCCAGGGUUAACGGCUAAUCCUGGCUCUUCAUAAUCUGACGUUUCACAUUGUUAAUUCCUAAAGCCUGGCUUAACUUUCUUCUCAUUUGCAUAUUUGUGCAUACAACCAUGACUGGAUAAAUACAGCGUGCGACUUCUUUAAAUAACGGCUUGUCUCACGCUUUCGCAUCACUGAGGAAAAUAAGGACAGGUCUGCCAUAUUGUUAUCUUUCAUAGCUUUAUUUAGCUUUUUUUUGUCAUGCAGUGCAUUGAUAUCCAACUUUCGAUCUUUUUUCAGUCACGUAUUUCCUCCUCGCUACGGCGCCUCACUUCCUCCUUGUUCACUGUUUUGCCGCCUGAUAAUACCAAGCUGUAUUUGUUGCAACGUCCUGGUUUUCACGUGAUAUGAGGCACGUGCUCUUGAGUUUCUGACUGGGUGUCUGUUUUUAAGUUGUACACAUUACAGAUAAUUUAUUGUUAACUGUCAGGAAUGUGAAUAAACAUGACGAGUUAGUAGUAGCUGUAACCAAGCUCAUUUUAAAAUUGAAAUUCUUAUUAUUUAAAUCUCUGUUUAUAUUUUGCUACCAAAGACAUUUGUACAUCUUUAUCUGUUUGGCAAACACGGACAAGAUAAGCCAAGGCCUGGUUCACACCUGUUAUUAUAAACGUGUCUCCAGUGACCACUUGCGAUCGGAUUUCAUACAUCGUUUCCGCUGUAGAAAGCCUGUCCAACACAUUUAUUACGUCAGUCUUCCACCGCAUUUAUAUCCAGGCAGAAAUGGUUUGCGGAUCCUUUCCCAUGAACGUGUACAUGCCGUUUUUCUAAAAUGUUUAUGUUAAUGAAACUUGUAAACGUGUGAGAGAUGAGAGGAAUGAGAUUAUAGUAAGCAACUGCUUUCAGUUCAGUUCUACAAAGUACUAUUGGGCUGCUUCUCAGGUGUGAGACUAAAUAGUAGAGAUUGUUGUAGUAGUAAUGAAUUAGUUUCUGCUGUAUCCUCGAGAUGCAUUUGACCCUAUUCACACCUGCGCUUAGCACUGACCAUUCAUGCUCAGAUCACCCAGGACACAUGCUAAUAACAGGUGUGAACAGGGUGAAAAAGGGCGUCGACAUGGCAGCAUCAGACAGGACACAUUAAGGACACAAAGAGACGACAGAAUGUUUACAUUCAGCAGACACCCUUAUCCAGAGCGACUCUCAUCUUGUACAGCUGAGUAAUUGAGGGUUAAGGGCCUUGCUCAGGGGCCCAGCAGUGACAGACCUAGGAUUUGAACUCACAGCCUUCCCAUCAGUAGUCCAACACCUUAAACAUGAAGCUACAACACCCUUAAAAGAAAGAAACACAUACUUAUUACUUUGGACACCAAGCUUUCCAUCUGGAAUGUAAAUCAUCUGACUCGAUAGCCAACACGAUAGUUAGAAUGGAUCAGUGAGUCGUUUCAAAACUUUCCGAGUUCCCUACUAAGCAGCGUUAUCUCUGUAACAGUAUCUGGUACUGCGAGGAGAGAGCACUCAAACCCGAAACUUUCUGACUUUUUGUUUAGAGCACAAGCAUGAUGUGAUGCAUGUGACACAUUUUAGAAAGGGAUAAAGACACAGACGUCCUCUACACAGGAAUUAGCAGCACCCUGGAGCUCGGAGCGCGCCGCUGUGAGAGAUUUGAAUUUCUACACUGCCGGUCCAAGCACAGUUGUGAUGAUAUCUUGUUUUAUUUUCUUUUUACCUUAGUAACAAAACUGAAUGAUAUCAGAGCGACUUUGUUUCUUUGGCUGAAUUUCUCUGAUCGCUCACUCAGCACAUUGUGUAGGUGACAAAAAAAAAAAAGACGGCUUUACGUUCCCGAAGACUGGUCUCAGAGAAGGCAGAGCUGAAUAAUCAUAAGGAUAUAUUACCGCUGAAGGAUAAUUACAAACGAAUCAGAGACAUAAAAGGCUGUGAUAAAAUCAUGGUGCUGUUUUCCUGAUGAAGGCUGACUGCUGUACAGAUUGCAGGACGAGAUCAUUUGAGUCUCCCCUGAAAGCGUAAAGUGAAUUUUUGUUCAGGAUUUUACACUGUGAAGUUUUAUUUGUUUCUUACAGUUCAUGUGUUUGUUUAAAAAAUCUAAAACCUUUUUGAUUUAAAGAAAAAAAACACCGAAGUAAAAUAUACUAUAUUGCCAAAAGUUUUGGGACAUCUGCCUUUACAUGCACAUGAAUGUAAUAUGGAGUCGUCCCACCCUUCCAGCUAUAACAGCUUCAACUCUUCUGGGAAGGCUUUCCACAAGGUUUAGGAGUGUGUUUAUGGGAAUUUUUGACCAUUCCUCUAGAAGCGCAUUUGUGAGGUCAGGCACUGAUGUUGGACGAAAAGGCCUGAUUCACAGUCUCCACUCUAAUUCAUCCCACCUGACUUCAGUGAUUUGGAGGGGUGUCCCAAACCUUUUAGCAAUAUAGUAUGUCAUGGGUGAGCUAUGAAUGUACACAUUAUUUAAUUGUUUGUUUGUGUGUUUGUAAGGCAAUUUUCUUCCUUUAUAGUGGUCAUUGUUAGCUGAGUUUAAGCUCAGUGCUGGACACAUUUCUACAGGUUUACGCCCUGAUGUCACUUACUGUAACACAGUGUUAAAUACUCAAAUCUGAUUGGCUGGAAGCUUGUGAUUAAUUCUGUAAGUCUCAGCACCGUCUGUAAUUCUAGUCACACGUUUAUGUUAAUGUCCUGCUUCUAAAACUUUAUUAUGAUUGAAAAUACAUGGUGUUUACAUAUAUAUUACAGCACAGUGUAAUUGUUUUCUUCGCAUAUCCCAGCUGAGGAAGUUGGGGUCAGAGCACAGGGGCAGUUAUGAUACAGCACCCCUGGAGCAGGAAGGGUUAAGGGCCUUGCUCAGUUGCCCAACAGUGGAGCUUGGUGGUGCUGGGGCUUGAACCCGGAUCCAGAGCCUUAACCACUGCCCCAACAUUUCAAAAAUAUCAAUCCUCAAAUAUUUCAGAAAUAUCGACUUUUGCGUAAUAUUCAUUCAGUGUGACAUGAAAUAUCAUUUUCUCAGUGUCCAAGAUUUAUAGUUAAUAUAAUAUAAUAUAAAGUUAAUAUAUAUAGAAAAUGUAGGAUCAUUGAUGCGGUAUUUGUUCAACAUAUGUUGAAGGAGUCUCCAGUGUCAGUGCUUUGAAAUGUCUCUUUGUAAAGAGCUUGUGUUGUCUUUUGUCUCUAUAAUAUGUUUUUUUAAGUGUUAUUAACAUCAUUUGAGGAAAAAACGAAGAUGGUGAGGAGAGGGUUGUUUGUAGGCACUAUGAUGUAAGUAAGAAUUGUUAUUCAACUAAAAAGAAAGAAAAAAGGUAUACACCGAUCAGGCAUAACAUUACCUGCCUAAAAUUGUGUUGGUCCUCCUUUUACUGCCAAAACAGCCCUGACCUAUUGAGGCAUGGACUCCACUAUGUGUGCUAUGGUAUCUGGCACCAAGAUCUUAGCAGCAGAUCUAUUAGGUCCUGUAAGUUGGGAGGUGGGGCCUCCAUGUGCCUCUAUGGAUUCCAUGGGCCAAACAUUGUAACUUACAGGACUUACAGAAUAUUUACAGGGCUUAAAGUAUACUCUUCAUAGAUACUGACCACUGCAGACCAGGAACACCCCACAAGAGCUGCAGUUUUAUGCUCUGAUCCAGUCGUCUAGACAUGACAAUUUGACCCUUGUCAAACUCGCUCAAAUCCUGAUACUUGCCCAUUUUUCCUGCUUCUAACACAUCAACUUUGAGGACAAAAUGUUCACUUGCUGCUUAAUAUAUCCCACCCACUAACAGGUGCCAUGAUGAGGAGAUAAUCAGUGAUAUUCACUUCACCUCAUAAUGUUAUGGCUGAUCGGUGUAAACUGAUAAUAAGUAUGACAUCAUAGGAAUUAAUAAAAAAAAUAAAUGUUGUAUUGCUGUAGUAUAAGAAGAAUGAAACAGUUCAGAACGAGCUGUUAUAGGAAAAUAAUCAUCGCCAUGGAGACAGCAACUCAUGAUUAGUGCCUUGUGUAACAUCCUGUUAUCAGUAUGUAAUAUAUCAAAUGAAAACCCGAGUCUGGAUACAGACUCCAGCCCCAGACUUAUCGAAGCGGUCAACAGAUACUCCAGGUAGCAAGCAGGUGCAGAAGGUAUUUAGCAACAAGAAGACAAGGCAGGACUGUAUGUGAAACGCUCUGAAAUCUCCAGUACCUGAGCAUCACAGAGGGGAAGACAGGAAGUGUAAACGUGCAUUAGUUAAUAAGCAGAUGAAGGAAAAGCAGGUGUCGGCGCUCCGUGGAGGAGGCAUGCUGGGAACGCUCUGACAGUGACACAAACGCCGCAGGAAGAUAGAAAACAUUGUUUUGUCGACCACAGCAGCUUCCCCAUCAAACUGAGUGAUGAGAUUGUGUAAACAACUUGACCACUGCUAGGGACUAAACCUUCUCCAUCUAGAUUAUUCUCCAGGAUUAACAUUGAUGUUUCAUUGCUGUGCAGGUGAAGAGACAGAAAUAAUGCAAACCUUCUGACCAAUCAGGUUCAAGAACUCAAGCCAGAUCGACAAAUAAUUGUUAAUCAGUGUUUAAAUGAGAAAUUUUCCUGUCCUCUGUAACCAUAACCAGUUUAUAAGAACUUUAAUAAGGAAUUUUUGUAUAAAAAAGUGAAAGAAACCUGUGUUUUCUCUUCAGUGCAGGAAUUUAUGUUAAAACUUCACACCAGCUCUGUGAGAUACGCUGCUAAAAACUCUCUGUUCCAAACCAGGGGUUUUUGCUUCUCACCGCUGGCUGUCCAUGACUCAUCGAUGAUUAUUUGAAAAAAAAAUCUUGCGUCAUAUGUUUACCACAAAGAGAGAAAACUCAACAAUCUUAUACAACAGUCUUAUUAGUGUUUAGCUUAUUGUGCACCUGCUAAUUAAAAAAAAUCACAGCGCAAUUGAGCACUGGAUGUAUUUAGUGGCUCUGUUAAUGAUCCUGCAGCUGGAAGCUCACGAGCACAAUCAAUAGUUGAAGAUUAAUAUCACACAUGGAACAAAUAUUUUUUGUGUUUUAUUUAUUAUGCCUUUAGAUGUGCAGCGUGUCGUUAGGUAACAGAUACGCACCAAUCCCAAUUUCUUCCAUUUUCAACAUGAUAUCGACGCCGAAGCUCAGAGCAUCGGCCGAUACCUGAUACUGAUCCCACAUCGACAUCCUCACGGCCACGCUCCGCAAUAUCCAGGAACAGGAUUGGUUAAAUUUCACUUCAUAACACUGCAGCUGACGGAAAGAUUCAGCAGAAUGUCUGCGUUCGUUCUGUUUUUUUUUUUCUCUUCACAGAGUUCAUUUUGUUCCAAAGUGGAGCAGGGAUGUUUAUCGAUGACUACAGUGCAGGUUUCUUUCUGUUUUAUCACUGCGCUGCAGUGUUUAUGCACAAGACUCGUCCUAUGAGGAAACAACCUGCGAUGACUGCAAAGAUUUAAGAUUCAGUCCCAAGAACUAAAGAUGAACAAAUUUUUGUCUGUAACAUUUCACUGGAAGCAGAUUUCCUGUCACCAUUUUAUGCCUCUCCUAAUACCGCGGCAUGGUUCUUGAAUCUGAUUGGUCAGAUUACCUACACUAUCUUGCCAAGCGUUUUGGGACAUCUGCCUUUCCAUGCACAUGAAUGUAAUAUGGAGUUGUCCCACCCUUCCAGCUAUAACAGCUUCAACUUUUCUGGGAAGGCUUUCCACAAGGUUUAGGAGUGUGUUUAUGGGAAUUUUUGACCAUUACUCUAGAAGCGAGUGAGGUCAGGCACUGAUGUUGGAGGAGAAGUCCUGGCUCACAGUCUCCACUCUAAUCCAUCCCAAUGGUGUUCUAUCAGGCUGAGGUGCAGGCCAGUCAAGUUCCUCCACACCAAACUCACUCAUCCAUGUCUUUAUGGACCUUGCUUUGUGCACUGGUGUGCAGUCAUGUUGGAACAGGAAGGGAUCAUCCCCAAACUGUUCCCUACAAAGUCGUUGGGUGUCCCAAAACUUUUGGCAAUAUAGUGUAUAUUAUAAAAUUGUACAUAGAGAAAAAAACAAAUUAGAGUAAGAUUGAAAAAUGUUUAAAAGUUGUGAUGUAUUGUGGUUCCUGAUAAACAAAUUAAACAAAUGCAUUUAAGAACUUCA